rnacentral:rRNA from 1 species
GUUAGGAAUUUUGGGCAAUGGGCGAAAGCCUGACCCAGCAACGCCGCGUGGGUGAUGAAGGCCUUCGGGUCGUAAAGCCCUUUUUCAGGGGAAGAUGAUGACGGUACCCUGAGAAUAAGCCCCGGCUAACUACGUGCCAGCAGCCGCGGUAAUACGUAGGGGGCAAGCGUUGUCCGGAUUUAUUGGGCGUAAAGCGCGCGUAGGCGGCGCGGUAUGUCGUGCGUGAAAUCUCCCGGCUUAACUGGGAGGGGCCGUGCGAAACUGCCGGGCUUGAGGUCGGAAGGGGAAAGUGGAAUUCCGGGUGUAGUGGUGGAAUACGUAGAUAUCCGGAGGAACACCAGCGGCGAAGGCGGCUUUCUGGUCCGAUACUGACGCUGAGGUGCGAAAGCGUGGGGAGCGAUCCGGAUUAGAUACCCGUGUAGUCC